CUACGGGAGGCACCAGUGGGGAAUAUUGCACAAUGGGCGCAAGCCUGAUGCAGCCAUGCCGCGUGUAUGAAGAAGGCCUUCGGGUUGUAAAGUACUUUCAGCGGGGAGGAAGGGAGUAAAGUUAAUACCUUUGCUCAUUGACGUUACCCGCAGAAGAAGCACCGGCUAACUCCGUGCCAGCAGCCGCGGUAAUACGGAGGGUGCAAGCGUUAAUCGGAAUUACUGGGCGUGAAGCGCGCGCAGGCGGUUUGUUAAGUCAGAUGUGAAAUCCCCGGGCUCAACCUGGGAACUGCAUCUGAUACUGGCAAGCUUGAGUCUCGUAGAGGGGGGUAGAAUUCCAGGUGUAGCGGUGAAAUGCGUAGAGAUCUGGAGGAAUACCGGUGGCGAAGGCGGCCCCCUGGACGAAGACUGACGCUCAGGUGCGAAAGCGUGGGGAGCAAACAGGAUUAGAUACCCUAGUAGUC
rnacentral:rRNA from 1 species